UACAUUUCAAUGAGUGCGGCAAACUUUCAAACGGACAUUACAGAUUACUGCUCACACGAACACCGAGUGGCUUUGAAUUUUGAGCAAGUGCUUCUGUCGAAGUGAAACUUGGCAACCACUGUGUCCUAACUUGUCUCCAUACGAGGUUUGUUGAUACCUGGUCAGCUCUCUCUGCUGGACUCGGUGAGGUUUGCGUCUAAGAAGGCCGGCGGCAGCAGCAAGAACCUCGGAGGAAAGAGCCCUGGAAAAAGAUAUGGCUUCAAGAAACAGGAUGGAAACUUUGUCCAUGCUGGUAACAUCCUUGCAACACAGAGGCUGAUGCGGUAUCACCCAGGAGCUCAUGUUGGAAUGGGAACCAACAAGACACUCUUUGCUCUGGAGGAUGGCUAUGUCAGGUUCACUAAGGAGGUCUAUGUCCCAUCACCACGGAGCCCAGAGGCUACUCAGGUCAUCACCAAGCUGCCAAGAGGAGCCGUCCUCUACAAGACCUUCAUCAAUGUCCUUCCAGUCAAGCAGGAGGGCAAAUUCAAGCUAGUGGACAUGGUCUAAAACUGAGCACAUAGAGCUCAUUCAUACGUUGGUCAGGAUUGUUUAGGAUUCACCCUGACUUGGAUUCCAGAGAUCUCAAGAAGAUGGCUGCUGACCUCAAAGAUCUUUCCUGGGAUCCCUGGAGUUACACAACUCUCUGCCUGACUUAUAAACAAAAGUUUGGGUCAAACUCCCACAGCAUUUUACAAUUUCUUUACAAAACACAAAUGAAGAAAGACAUCUGUUGUUUCAUUCGGUAUAAGUCUUUAAGGAGACGAGAGUUAAAAAUGGUAUGAAUCCAAUAUUUCAUGGUGUCAUUCCAGUAGUCCAUGAUACAGGAAGUGUGAUGAAAAUAAAUGUACAGUAUGAGACAAGUAAAGUGAAGAGAGUAAAUUAUAAUUGUAAACUGGACUCAGUUCACACAGGAAUCCCCAUCACACUGAACUGAGGCAUCAUUGCUGUCAUACUGAAUAUACAUAUAUUUAGUGUAUUAAAGUUUUCUAUGUGUAAGUCUUACAUUGAAUGAA